CAGAAAACCUACUACAAGGUAGGACACCUAAUAUCGUUCAGAAACGGGAUCCCAAACGCUGUAGACAAUGUGACAAUAUAACCUGUAUGUUGCUUUGUAUGGAUAAAAGGAAUUACAAUCCAGCAGAAGAAAUCGGUUUUUCUGUACAAAAAAAGACACAAGAGGAGCUAGGAUGCGUAUUUGACGAGAUCUUGGAAGAAUUACCGGAAAAGGGAAAAGCUGAGUUAUUUGAUGUGAUAAUGCGAUGGGUUGACUACGACUGAAGAUAAGGUCUCCUAUUU